GUCCUCCUCCCAGGCACGUGUGCCGCACGCUCCCUGCCAGCCUGUGCACGUGGCGAGCUGCCCGCGUUUACCGGCGCGUUCACUUAUCAUAGUUCGCUUUCUCCCGAGCUCGGCGGUGUGGCCGCUCGACCUAAUACCUCCACCUCCCACGCACCUUGCUCAGUCGUGAGAUUCCGAAAAAAAUAUAUAUAUAACUUAAGCGUAGAGGAAGCAUCCGUCAGUCAGCGUCACCACAACCAAGUUCACCUCCACGCAAGAAUGGGUAGCAUGAAGUGGAGGGUGAAAGUUAAAAAGAGAAUAUGCAAGAACUUAACCAACGAAGAGCACGUGAUUAUGCAGAAACUUAAAGAAAGAGCGCCUCCAAAUAUGGAAAUAGAGAAAAACAAGAUGAAGAAAAAAAGAUUCAUAGUGAGAAUCAAACGGAGAAGACGGCAGAGCCAGGAGCAGCCGCCCCCUCCUGCCCGGCCCGCGGGGGUCGACCCGAGCGAGAGGAACGGCCGUGCCCAGCAGGGCCUCUCACUCUUCCUUCGCAUCCUUGCCUCGCUCGUCACCCGGAUGCCUCCUAACGCUGGCGCCUUUCCAAGCCCCCCGGCGUCGCGUGGUCGCUUGUCCCGGAAUAGGGGCUAGUGCAACGCGCCGUCGACAGACUCGCGCAGAACAACAACAACAACAAAAAUAUCAACGCACGUACAAGUACCGUAGCUGUAAGGGUAUGGGAGCAGUGUCAGUGUGGUCAACAAAAUUGACAUCGUGUGCCCAACAAUGUAUUUGCCAGGAAAACAUGCCAGGAAAACAUGGCAAAUGAGCUGGUUCGUUGAAAGUGUUCACCCCUAAGUCAAAUACUCAGUCUCUCCUAUGCGAAUGCAGUGUCCCACUUUAGGAUUAAAAUAAAUUACAUUUAAUUUAUUUUGUAAGCACUGCGGUGCCCGCCAUGACACUGAGAGGUCAAAGGCAUAGAUAUUUCUGGAGUGUUAAUGAUCUAUGAAAUUAGUGGCCAAGGACUACUGAUUAACUCAUAACAGGAAAUACGUACUCAAGACAUACCGUAUAAUUUGGGUCUUUCGGUGAAGUCACGUAGAUAGGCUCAAAGAAAAUAACAAAAAACUACGACGUUUCGAUCGCAACACAAGCGUUCUUCCUGAUGACAAACACUUGUGUUGCGGUCGAAACGUCGUAGUUUUUUUCUUUGAACCAAUCUACGUGACUUUACCGAAAGACCCACAGAAUAUGAAUUCCUGCAGUCACGUAAGCUUUAAGUCAAGAUUUACCUACCGUAGUGUUAUGGUUAAAACAUUGAAUGGACAACGUUUACAAAUUACCAUUUUGUGAGGGUAAAUCAUAAGAAUGCUACGUUGCAUUUCCAUUUGAAAAAAAGUUUAAACAUUUAAUAAACACAUAUAUAGAACCAUAAUAAUAACAACAACAUUUGAAUAAAUAAUUGUACAAAACGCCUAUCUUGCCAUUUUAGUAUCAUAAUGUAUAUGUAAUACCGUUCAUAAAAUGUUCUACACAGACAAUUUCGAACAAUAGCUGGUUUCUCUUGUAAUAUAGUGCCCAGAAAAUAUAACUACGUUCAUGGGUUUGACAUGCACAUAGCUUAGAAAGUAUUGUAUAGUAAAUGAGUAUUUGAUCAAGGCUGGCACUUGAUCCUAGCUAAAAUCUAAAUUAAAUAAUUUUAUUAGAGUAGUGUUCGUGAACGAUUACAUCUGAUGAUGUGGAAGAGGGGCUUGUGAUAACGGUGCAAAUGCCUCUUGAAGACAAUGGGCAGUUAGCACACACUGUUUCACACCUCUUGAAAAUACAUCUCAUCAAGUAAGAUGUGAGGCAUGCAGUAACCCUGGGGGUGCCUUGUCUUUUCAAAUUACUUUUAAGCUUAAUAUGUGAGUAAUGUGAAAUAAACUAUAUGUGCUUGGUGCUCGUUGUAUAAAAACCCCUUUGUAUAGGAAUGUAAUGUGGUUGACUUGAACUGCAUUCUGAGGUGGGAUGUCAGCGGAAAUGGCCCUGCUUGCAUGAAUUCAUCUGAACGCGAUGCAGCCUCUCGCAUUCACACAUCAACAACGCGGUGGUUUACUUUUAUCUCGAGAUCUUGGUCGCUAAAUCAGGUUUCGCACAUCCGUCAACCAGCGGACGUCUGAAAUUUUUAAAUCGACGCAUAAAUGCACUGUUUUAGCUCGUAAAUAUAAGAGGUGGUCGAAGUUAACUAAUUGAAAAACUAAUUUCUUAAGAACUGCUUUUUGUCAUUGUCCUUCCCCCGCAUCUCCGAUUAGCGUUGGUUGGCUACGUACGGUGCGAAAUAAGUUUUAACAUGCAUAAUUACAAAGUAAAUGGUUCUACAGUAUUGAGUGUAAUGCCUCCUCUAAUGCCACAACUUGGCAACACGAUUUAAAUGUAUAUAAUAGCGUAACACACCACAAGAGUGGAGGAACCUCUUUGGCACGUACAUUGCAUUACAAUGCAGUCAAUUCUUUGUCUCGAGCAACUUCGUGUCCAUCUCAAACCCUACCUGCUCGGGUGAAGCAGUGCGCCCGACAUGACCACCCAUAGCACGUUUUUAAAACGUAACAAAUUGCGCAAUUUUCGUCAAGGUUGAUUGUAAAGCGCAGUCUCUCGUUACAUGUUAGUGUCAGCGGGCCGACCACUGCAAAAAUAUAUCUAUAUAUAUAUACCAGAACACACACGAUGUGCUCUGUUCACUACCAGAACCAUUUACCAACCAUGAAAAUAUUAGCUUUAAGAACAGGUGCAUAAUAACCGAUAUAAUGACUGACGGAGGAUCUGUGUAUCCAUCACACGUUCGAAACACCGCCCCAAACGUCCAGUUUGUAAGUGCCGCUCAUGCAAGACACCAGAGGCUGUACACUAUACGGGGGCCGCACCGUGCAUCAAAUAAAAUUGUUAUUUGCAGUGGCUACUGUAGGCAUAGAGAGAAUGCCGCGGGCUUUUAUAUGGGUACGCUUAGACUGUGGUUACAUUGAGUCCCCUAAACAUAUGUAAAUCCGUUUUUGGAGUGAUUAUGGACUCAUCUUAAAUGUGGUGUACGUUUUCACGUAGUGCAUGACUUUUGUUCUGAAAAAUAUAUUUGAAGUAAUCAUAUCAGUUCAACAUUGUCAUUGUAUGUUACUCAUUAAUGUGCAUUGCAAUCGUUAUUCCCAUUAGACAUGUUCAAAGGCACGGUUCAACUUUAAAAUUACGGUACUCUACUGUGGAGGUGUUUAGCGUUUGUGCUGUCUAGCUCCCCGAAGUACCACGUGCUGUUCGACAUGCUGUCCGACGUUUCGCACCACAUUCUGGGGCCUUCAAGAACUGACGCUCAUACCUGUCAACCCCUUAUCAGAGCCGAUCUUAUUAUAGACCAAUUCAGACCGUAUUGGUCACCCCGUGCCCUUAUAAAUCUCAACGUUCAUCCGACAAGCUCCCAUCACAAGGGAGAAACACAAACAAGUAUAUUUUUUUGCCCGUAUUGAAACGGCUGUAUGCCGUAUGGACCUGAAAACUACAUUUCCCUGUACACGAACGCGGGUAAACCGCAUGGGUUGAUAGGUGUGCAAGCUCCCAGCAUGUGGCGCUGAAAGCGGCAGUGUUGUUCGGUAUAACGUAUCGGAUGUCCACCUGAAACUACUUUGGAGAACGACGCUCACGUGUCUUCUGACAAUUGCUACGGCUCCCACAUCGGAUAUUUUUUAAAUGCAAAACAAACCCAGUGCUCAGUCUUUGCCUUCAUUUGUUUUGACAAAAGUUUAAUCUGUACAUUUCUACCGGGCCUUCGUAUGUUGGGGUUAUCAACCACGCGAUUAGAACUGCAUGUAAUCUGCCAUGUGUGUGUUUGACGGACAUGCAAACAUCAUGAAGCAGGCUUCCUGAUCAGUUUUUUUUAAUAUUUAAUUUUAUUACAACAAGUCAUGAA